AUACGGAGGAUCCGAGCGUUAUCCGGAUUUAUUGGGUUUAAAGGGUGCGCAGGCGGCCAUUUAAGUCAGCGGUUAAAUCGUGGGGCUCAACCCCAUUCUGCCGUUGAUACUGGGUGGCUUGAUUGCGGUCGAGGUUGGCGGAAUUCGUUGUGUAGCGGUGAAAUACAUAGAUAUGACGAAGAACACCGAUUGCGUAGGCAGCUGACCAGACCGCAAAUGACGCUCAUGCACGAAAGUGCGGGGAUCGAACAGGAUUAGAUACCCUGGUAGUCCGCACAGUAAACGAUGAAUACUUGUUUUCGGCGAUAUAAUGUCGGAGGCAAAGCGAAAGCGAUAAGUAUUCCACCUGGGGAGUACGCCGGCAACGGUGAAACUCAAAGGAAUUGACGGGG
rnacentral:rRNA from 1 species